rnacentral:lncRNA from 1 species
GAGUCAUUCGACUAACGAUCACUGCAAGAGAAACCGUGAAUGAGAGUGCACGCGUUUUUUGUUUACAAACGUAAAACUGUUUUAGCGCUCCGUUGAUCUAAUUUUGUGCAAGGACAACCAUCGUUAUUUUAAGAUAAUACCAUGGUACAUACUUACAAGAAAAAAA